rnacentral:lncRNA from 1 species
CACGGUGCGGCGAGGAGUCAUGAUGGAAGAGCAGCCAGGGGAAGAGGACCAUGGGGAGGUGAUGGAGGGGAGGAGGGUGCAGGGGAGGACAGAUGGUGCAGAUGGGGAUGGAUGGUGGAGGGGAGGAUGGUGGAGGUGAUUAAGGAUGCAGGUGAGAACCUGUGAGUGGGACCUGGUGUGGGGACAGGGUCUCUGCAGAGGUCGUCAGUGCAGGGUCCUGAGCUGGGCUCCUCCUGGGGCAGGGGGCCCUCGUGCCAAGGCCGUGUCCUCCCAAGGGACAGAGGAGGGGACACAGACCCAGAGGAGGAGCCCCGUGGAGACGGAGGCAGAGACUGGAGUGAGGGGCCACCAGCCCAGGGCCACCUGGAGCCCAGGAGCUGGACAGGCAGGAGGAGCCCCCUGGAGGGGGCUCAGCCUGGGACCCCUGGAUGGUGACUUCUAGUCUCUAAAAUUCCCUCUCCUCCUCCUCCUCCAUCUCCUCCUCCUCCAUCUCCUCCUCCUCCAUCUCCUCCUCCUCCUCCAUCUCCUCCUCCUCCAUCUCCUCCUCCUCCUCCUCCUCCAUCCCCCUCCUCCCCCAUCCCCCUCCUCCUGGUCCCAUUUCCAGCGUCUGUCCUUGACCUUGGCAUGUGCCCCCCCUGUGUCCUGCGGGAGAGGUGUGGUGGACGUGAGGUCUCACUUCUCUGUCCAGCCACCUGGACCUGACCCUUGGUCCCGAUCCCCAGGACAUUUCUGCAGGACCCGGGGAGCUGCUGCUCUCUUGCUCCGGAAGCUUCUCCUAUGUCUCUCAAGCCUUUUCCUGCUUCGCUGGACGGACCUCGUGAACCGUCCUGGGGAUCCCGCGCUCGAGGGGCUGCUGGGUGAGGCUUCUUCAUUCCUCAGCUGGGGACAGAUGGUUGGAAAUUUCUCCAAACACAAUGGCGCUGGGGUUUCCUCCCACACCCUGGUGGUGACCGUCCCCUGCUCUCGGGACGCUGCCACCUGGACGUCACCUCCCGUGUUGGGAGAAGUGCCCUUUGUGGUGGACGCCUCACCUGCCCACUGCCUGACUUCUCCCACGUCUGGGAUCCCGUGGCUACUGAGAGGACCCCGGUGGACAGGUGGGUGGGUCUGGAUGAUGGCCCCCAGCGUGGCCCAGGGCCCCGCCAUCUUACCCAGGAUGCAGCUGGGCUUGGCCAGACGUGUAUCACAUUUCCCCUGGAUCACAUUCUGCCUCUCCUCCAGCCAACAACGGGCACCUUGCUGCCCCUGUGCUGGUGGCAUGAGGGACCAUAAGGCACGGCUUGGUCUCAUUUUGCUGGUGAACUCGGGUGGCUCAGGGGACUCUGUGCCCAUUCAAGGUCGAGCUGCACAGCGAAGCCCCACAGUGGGUGGUUAGAUCAGCAGAGGUCUAUCUCCCCGUCCUGAAGGCUGGAGGUCCGAGGUCCAGGGUGGGAAGGGCGGGCUCCUCCCAAGGCCUCUCCCCUGGGCUGGCAGCCGCCGUCUUCUCCCUGUGUCCUCCCGGGGCGUCCCUCUGUGUGCGUCUGUGUCCUCAUCUCCUCCUCUACGAGGACCCCAGUCCUGCUGGGUCAGGGCCACCCUGGGGACCUCACUGCACCCCCAUCCCCUCUGCAAAGACCCGUCUCCACCCACAGGCACGUCCCAAGGUCCUGGGGCCAGGGCUGCAGGGGGUGUCUUAGGGGACACAGUUGGUCCUGUGAGAGGGCCAGAUGGUUGUCCCAGGUUACCUUGGGGGUUAGGGUUAGAUUUGGGGACCCCAGCUAUGGGAAAUGCACCCCCACCUCCAUACAGGAGGUCAGCACCCUCAUGAGCUGGGCCACAGGGGCUCAGGGGGCACUGUGGUCAGCGGGGCCACAGCUGCGUCCUUGGCCUGUGAGAUUGGCCGACGGGAUCAGGUCUGUCCUCUGUGCAUGUGGGGGAGGAUGGUCGGGCCAUCUCGGGGACAUGGAGUCGGGUCUUACAACCCCCCCCACCUUGAUUUUCCUGGGCCCAGGCAGAGUGGCCACCUGACCAGGCCCCCAGGCUGCCUACGGUGCCUGCACCAGCCACUCAGCGUCCAGGCAGGUCAGAGGGGUCAACCUGGCUUGGCCAGGUGGCCAGGGGCGAGUCAGGGCUGCGGGGUCCCUGCUGGACGUGGGCUCGGCACCCACAGCCCGGGCCUGGGAGACAGGGUAAGUGCCGGUCAUUAGAACUCGCCAGCACCGCGCCCAGUCUGCGCUCCUGGUACGACGACGCAGAGGUUUGAUAAGGAGCCGCCCAGGCCAGGCUGACGGUAAUCAGGCCUGGACGUCGGGAGCCAUUGUGGCUCGGUUCACAGGCCCACAGCUGGUGCCCGGGAAGCGAAGGUGGACGUGCCCAGCAGCCAGCGCCCACUCUGCCGGGUGCCCAGGAGCUGCCGCAGCCCCGGGGUCCUGGACACACCCGGCGCAGGGCGGCCCAGAGCCGGCGGCAGGUCCAGAACCCAGCACCUUCCUGUCUGGGGACCAGCCGCGGCCCAGCAGGCCUGGGAGAGGCCCAUGUGGACAGCCCUGUGGGCUGUGGGCAGAGGGCCAGCCCUAGCUGACCAGCACCUGGUCCUGGAGACUCAGGUGGGUGGACAGCAGCCCUGAGGGUCUCAUGGCGAGGCUCUGCCCACCUAAGGCGAUCUUGGGGAAUCAGCGCCCCGCCCCAGGAUGGACAGUCCUCCCUGGCCAGCAAGGCCCCCAGAGGUCACGCAUUCCAAAGGCAGAAAACAGCUCCUAUGGCCCCGGACCUGGGCGGCCGACACCCAGGGACACGCAGUGUCUGGACCUUGCUGCUUGUGCAAGGAGGGCGCUAGUCCAAGGGUCACGCCAGCAGGGGCCUGCUGACCUUCCAGGGGCAUCUGCUGACCACGUGCAGGAACAGCCCCUGAG